rnacentral:rRNA from 1 species
CUUCGCAUGGACGAAGUCUGACGGAGCAACGCCGCGUGAGUGAUGAAGGUUUUCGGAUCGUAAAGCUCUGUUGUUAGGGAAGAACAAGUACCGUUCGAAUAGGGCGGUACCUUGACGGUACCUAACCAGAAAGCCACGGCUAACUACGUGCCAGCAGCCGCGGUAAUACGUAGGUGGCAAGCGUUGUCCGGAAUUAUUGGGCGUAAAGGGCUCGCAGGCGGUUUCUUAAGUCUGAUGUGAAAGCCCCCGGCUCAACCGGGGAGGGUCAUUGGAAACUGGGGAACUUGAGUGCAGAAGAGGAGAGUGGAAUUCCACGUGUAGCGGUGAAAUGCGUAGAGAUGUGGAGGAACACCAGUGGCGAAGGCGACUCUCUGGUCUGUAACUGACGCUGAGGAGCGAAAGCGUGGGGAGCGAACAGGAUUAGAUACCCUGGUAGUCCACGCCGUAAACGGUGAGUGCUAAGUGUUAGGGGGUUUCCGCCCCUUAGUGCUGCAGCUAACGCAUUAAGCACUCCGCCUGGGGAGUACGGUCGCAAGACUGAAACUCAAAGGAAUUGACGGGGGCCCGCACAAGCGGUGGAGCAUGUGGUUUAAUUCGAAGCAACGCGAAGAACCUUACCAGGUCUUGACAUCCUCUGACAAUCCUAGAGAUAGGGACGUCCCCUUCGGGGGCAGAGUGACAGGUGGUGCAUGUUUGUCGUCAGCUCGUGUCGUGAGAUGUUGGGUUAAAGUCCCGCAACGAGCGCAACCCUUGAUCUUAGUUGCCAGCAUUCAGUUGGGCACUCUAAGGUGACUGCCGGUGACAAACCGGAGAAGGUGGGGAUGACUCAAAUCAUCAUGCCCCUUAUGACCUGGGCUACACACGUGCUACAUGGACAAACAAAGGGGAGCGAAACGGGGAGGUUAAGCCAAUCCACAAAUCUGGUCUCAGUUCGAUCCCAUUCUGCAAUUC